rnacentral:lncRNA from 1 species
AUUAGCGAUGCACCAUAUAAUUAGUUUGGAGGCAGUAAUUCUGUGAGGAAUUUUUCGACGGCAACCCAUGCAUCGUAGACGCCAUUGAGGCUGUCGACAACGGCGGUCUCGUUAGCCGAGCACGGCUUCUCCGGCGGCGGUGGGCAGGAGCACUUGCAGCGCGGAGGCUGUUUCCCAUCGCCCUGGACGUAGGAAUGGAUGGCGCCGCGUAUGUCCGCCAG